GGCUCAACCGGGGAGGGUCAUUGGAAACUGGGGAACUUGAGUGCAGAAGAGGAGAGUGGAAUUCCACGUGUAGCGGUGAAAUGCGAUAGAGAUGUGGAGGAACACCAGUGGCGAAGGCGACUCUCUGGUCUGUAACUGACGCUGAGGAGCGAAAGCGUGGGGAGCGAACAGGAUUAGAUACCCUGGUAGUCCACGCCGUAAACGAUGAGUGCUAAGUGUUAGGGGGUUUCCGCCCCUUAGUGCUGCAGCUAACGCAUUAAGCACUCCGCCUGGGGAGUACGGUCGCAAGACUGAAACUCAAAGGAAUUGACGGGGGCCCGCACAAGCGGUGGAGCAUGUGGUUUAAUUCGAAGCAACGCGAAGAACCUUACCAGGUCUUGACAUCCUCUGACAAUCCUAGAGAUAGGACGUCCCCUUCGGGGGCAGAGUGACAGGUGGUGCAUGGUUGUCGUCAGCUCGUGUCGUGAGAUGUUGGGUUAAGUCCCGCAACGAGCGCAACCCUUGAUCUUAGUUGCCAGCAUUCAGUUGGGCACUCUAAGGUGACUGCCGGUGACAAACCGGAGGAAGGUGGGGAUGACGUCAAAUCAUCAUGCCCCUUAUGACCUGGGCUACACACGUGCUACAAUGGACAGAACAAAGGGCAGCGAAACCGCGAGGUUAAGCCAAUCCCACAAAUCUGUUCUCAGUUCGGAUCGCAGUCUGCAACUCGACUGCGUGAAGCUGGAAUCGCUAGUAAUCGCGGAUCAGCAUGCCGCGGUUGAAUACGUUCCCGGGCCUUGUACACACCGCCCGUCACACCACGAGAGUUUGUAACACCCGAAGUCGGUGAGGUAACCUU
rnacentral:rRNA from 1 species